UCCCUGCUAGCAGCCUAGGAGGAAGGAGCUCUCUGCUAUGGAAGAGAGGAGAAGCCUGAUGCAGGAGCAGCAUCUGACACACUGCUGUGAGAUAAAGAAUCCCUGAUGCUGGAGUAUAAGAAAGCAGUGAAAACAGCUAACGGGUCACACUUCAAGAGUGAGAAAUCUCUCUGACACCAGCUGCUGCUGUGCCCAACUUACUCAAGAAGUUGAUGAGAAACAGACCACCUCUUCAUCACCUGUUUGGAACCCUGUCUCAUUCAGUGCACGGACUGGGCUGCUCAAGAAAUAACUGCAACAUUCUUUGGUGAAUCACAUUGUUCUCUGUUACACUGCAGCCUCAUUUACUGCCAGAGAUAGAAGGAAUACAGUAAAUGAGGCUUUAAAAAAAAGCAGGAAGAGCAAAUACAUUUUUGUGCUGAAGGCAGCUGAAUACUGUCUGGAAAAAUUAGAUACUCCCUCUGCCUCUCUCAAUGCUUCAGUGUAAUAGCUUGAAGUGACUUGGCUACACCUGGCUCAGUACCUCAUAGGAUUCAGCUGUAUGUAUCACACAUUACAAGACAGCUAUUUUAGGAAUGCUUUAAAUAAUUUUUUUAAGUUUCUAAAACUGCUUUUCAUAUCCUUUCAUUUGUAACCCAUACAUGUUACUAAAUACAAGUCAAGCUAUAAUUUAGAUUUUGUCCCAGGGGACAGAUUGGUAAAUGGAGGACAGGUAAAUUGGUCAAAAGAAUCAUCAUAAAUUUAUCAUGUGCUCCUGCAAUUUAUCAAAUAAUUGUCAUCUCCGUAUAAUUUGUGUGAUGUAUACAAAUGCACAGUUUUCCAUAUUAUGUAGAAACUUCUCUCUACAGGUCCCAGCAAGAGCAAAGUGCUCACCCUUAGCAUUCUGCUGUUUUACAUUUUUGAUGGCAUUCACCAGCCUGCAGGGCUGAACACUAUCACAUCAGUGAAAGCACUUGGUCAUCAUUUCAGGCAGUAAUUAUUUUUCUACUAAAUUGGAGCUCAAUCCAAAGUAGCCAAAGGAAAGAUUUCUACAUAGGACUUAGUUUCAGGCCCUGGAUGCCAAACACUUCAAAUGGUAUAGAAUAAAAACUACCACCAGCUUUCUCUUACAUCUCUGGGAUUUAAUGCUGUGAAAAAAAUUACUUAAGCAUUACUUUCACUGAGAAGUUACUUAUUGCCUAAUGCAUUAAAUUAAUUUAAAUUUAAUCACUUUAAUCUCAUUACAUUACAAUGUCCUUUGUUUUCCUUAUGCAGCAUACUCACUAGUCCUAAGAUUUAUAGUGAGAGUUUUUUAGUAACAUUUCUGGGUGAGUAAUAUAAUUCACUUGGUUGCUAGGAGUAAAAUACUCUAAAUUGUAUACCAUCUAGAUGCUCACUAAGCCACUCUGUAAUCAGCCUAAUGCUUUAUAAUUUAGAAGUUUUUGAAUAACAUUUAAAAACUUGUAGUGGAAUAGAUUUUUUUUGUCUUGGAAAAAAGUUUAUCGGGCAAGAAAAUAACCUUUCUAAAAUGCUUCAUGUCUUCCGGGCUGCUAUUGUCAUUUAUGAAUAUAGCAUAACAUCUUUCCAUGAGAUGAUACCUCACUAUUAAAAUGAUAAAUCGCACUGAAUGACUAUCUAAUCAAUUUACUUUACUUCAGGAUUUGAAUAUCACUUCUGCAAAAUGAACCAGUGUUUUCAAAACUGUAAUCCUUCAGACGCUUCAUCAGCAAAGUUAACAGGCAUAAUUGUCUUUUUAACGAAAAAAACUUUUGGGUCUUUAUUGCAGGAGCAGAAUGCUAAACAAUCUUUAAAAAGACUUAUUGCUGCUCAGCAAGAGGGCAAGAAAAGCAAAAUACUUGCAGUCUCCAAUAUAAAUACCUUUUUCUAUGAGAUAUAGUAACACUUGCAAGUUGUGAACAUGGUUGAACUGUUAAUUUUUCUCAGCUCUUGGGUGUGAAAAUUAUUUAAAAAUGCAAUCCACAUUGUUUUUUGGGUGUUUAUUAAUUAAAUCCUUUCACUGUGAGUCAGGCUAGAAAGUAAUUUGCCUGAUGGAGAAAGACAAGAAAGAAAGGAAGUUUUGUUACUACAAGGCAUCAAAGCAAACACUUUUGACGUUUUGAAAAAGACCUGGUGGAUGUUAACCUGU